CCGCUGUAGCCCAAUCGAAUAGUUGAGAAGUUUACUGCCCGGCUGUUGUGAGAUUUCUCUCUGUCGACUGAUCUGCUUACCGAGCUUCUCACAUUU